CAGUCGCCGCGGUAAUACGAAGGGGGCUAGCGUUGUUCGGAAUUACUGGGCGUAAAGGGCGCGUAGGCGGCCAUUCAAGUUAGGCGUGAAAGCCCUGGGCUCAACCUAGGAAUUGCGCUUGAUACUGUUUGGCUUGAGUUCGGGAGAGGUGAGUGGAAUUCCCAGUGUAGAGGUGAAAUUCGUAGAUAUUGGGAAGAACACCAGUGGCGAAGGCGGCUCACUGGACCGACACUGACGCUGAGGCGCGAAAGCGUGGGGAGCAAACAGGAUUAGAUACCCCUGUAGUCCCUGUCUCUUAUAA
rnacentral:rRNA from 1 species